ACGUAGAGUGCGAGCGUCAAUCGGAGUUACUGGGCGUAAAGCGUGCGCAGGCGGCUCUAUAAGACAGAUGUGAAAUCCCCGGGCUUAACCUGGGAACUGCGUUUGUGACUGUAGGGCUUGAGAGCGGCAGAGGGGGGUGGAAUUCCACGUGUAGCAGUGAAAUGCGUAGAGAUGCGGAGGAACACCGAUGGCGAAGGCAGCCCCCUGGGCCGAUACUGACGCUCAUGCACGAAAGCGUGGGGAGCAACCAG
rnacentral:rRNA from 1 species